rnacentral:rRNA from 1 species
UGCAAGUCGAGCGGAGAGAGGUAGCUUGCUACUGAUCUUAGCGGCGGACGGGUGAGUAAUGCUUAGGAAUCUGCCUAUUAGUGGGGGACAACAUUUCGAAAGGAAUGCUAAUACCGCAUACGUCCUACGGGAGAAAGCAGGGGAUCUUCGGACCUUGCGCUAAUAGAUGAGCCUAAGUCGGAUUAGCUAGUUGGUGGGGUAAAGGCCUACCAAGGCGACGAUCUGUAGCGGGUCUGAGAGGAUGAUCCGCCACACUGGGACUGAGACACGGCCCAGACUCCUACGGGAGGCAGCAGUGGGGAAUAUUGGACAAUGGGCGGAAGCCUGAUCCAGCCAUGCCGCGUGUGUGAAGAAGGCCUUAUGGUUGUAAAGCACUUUAAGCGAGGAGGAGGCUACUUUAGUUAAUACCUAGAGAUAGUGGACGUUACUCGCAGAAUAAGCACCGGCUAACUCUGUGCCAGCAGCCGCGGUAAUACAGAGGGUGCAAGCGUUAAUCGGAUUUACUGGGCGUAAAGCGCGCGUAGGCGGCUAAUUAAGUCAAAUGUGAAAUCCCCGAGCUUAACUUGGGAAUUGCAUUCGAUACUGGUUAGCUAGGGUGUGGGAGAGGAUGGUAGAAUUCCAGGUGUAGCGGUGAAAUGCGUAGAGAUCUGGAGGAAUACCGAUGGCGAAGGCAGCCAUCUGGCCUAACACUGACGCUGAGGUGCGAAAGCAU